rnacentral:rRNA from 1 species
UACGAAGGAUCCAACCGUUGUCCGGAUUUACUGGGUUUAAAGGGUGCGUAGGCGGACUUAUAAGUCAGUGGUGAAAGCCUUCAGCUUAACUGAAGAACUGCCAUUGAAACUGUAAGUCUCGAGUUCGGUUGAGGUCAUUGGAAUGUAACAUGUAGCGGUGAAAUGCAUAGAUAUGUUACAGAACACCGAUUGCGAAGGCAGAUGACUAAACCGAAACUGACGCUGAGGCACGAAAGCGUGGGGAUCAAACAGG